CAGUCGCCGCGGUAAAACGUAGGUGGCAAGCGUUGUCCGGAAUUAUUGGGCGUAAAGGGCUCGCAGGCGGUUUCUUAAGUCUGAUGUGAAAGCCCCCGGCUCAACCGGGGAGGGUCAUUGGAAACUGGGAAACUUGAGUGCAGAAGAGGAGAGUGGAAUUCUACGUGUAGCGGUGAAAUGCGUAGAGAUGUGGAGGAACACCAGUGGCGAAGGCGACUCUCUGGUCUGUAACUGACGCUGAGGAGCGAAAGCGUGGGGAGCGAACAGGAUUAGAUACCCCUGUAGUCCCUGUCUCUUAUAC
rnacentral:rRNA from 1 species